rnacentral:sRNA from 1 species
UGUGUACACUGUACAAGGCGACCAGGUC